rnacentral:rRNA from 1 species
UACGUAGGGGGCAAGCGUUGUCCGGAUUUAUUGGGCGUAAAGAGCGUGUAGGCGGCCAGAUAGGUCCGUUGUGAAAACUGGAGGCUUAACCUCCAGCGGUCGAUGGAAACCAUUUGGCUAGAGUCCGGAAGAGGAGAGUGGAAUUCCUGGUGUAGCGGUGAAAUGCGUAGAGAUCAUGAGGAAGACCAGUGGCGAAGGCGGGUCUCUGGACAGUUCCUGACACUGAGGCACGAAGGCCAGGGGAGCAAACGGG